UGUGGCAGCAGCCGCGGUAAUACGGGGGGGGCAAGCGUUGUUCGGAAUUACUGGGCGUAAAGGGCGCGUAGGCGGCCUGCUAAGUCACACGUGAAAUCCCUCGGCUCAACCGGGGAACUGCGUGUGAUACUGGCGGGCUUGAAUUCGGGAGAGGAGAGUGGAAUUCCUGGUGUAGCGGUGAAAUGCGUAGAUAUCAGGAGGAACACCGGUGGUGAAGACGGCUCUCUGGACCGGUACUGACGCUGAGACUCGAAAGCGUGGGGAGCAAACAGGAUUAGAUACCCUGGUAGUCCACGCCCUAAACGAUGCGUACUUGGUGUAGGCUCUUCACUGAGUCUGUGCCGGAGUUAACACGUUAAGUACGCCGCCUGGGGAGUACGGUCGCAAGACUGAAACUCAAAGGAAUUGACGGGGGCCCGCACAAGCGGUAGAGCAUGUGGUUUAAUUCGACGCAACGCGAAGAACCUUACCUAGGCUUGAACUGCAGUGGCCAUUCUUAGAAAUAGGAACUUCCCUUCGGGGACUGCUGUAGAGGUGCUGCACGGCUGUCGUCAGCUCGUGUCGUGAGAUGUUGGGUUAAGUCCCGCAACGAGCGCAACCCUCGUCCUGUGUUACCAAAAAUUGGGACUCACAGGAGACCGCCAGCGACAAGCUGGAGGAAGGUGGGGACGACGUCAAGUCAUCGUGGCCUUCAUGUCUAGGGCUACACACGUGCUACAAUGGGCGGUACAACGGGUUGCGAAGUCGCAAGGCGGAGCUAAUCCCUAAAAGCCGUCCUCAGUUCGGAUUGCAGGCUGUAACUCGCCUGCAUGAAGUUGGAAUCGCUAGUAAUGGCGUAUCAGAAUGACGCCGUGAAUACGUUCCCGGGCCUUGUACACACCG
rnacentral:rRNA from 1 species